GCGGAUGGAGAGGGAUUCGAACCCCCGGUAUUCCUAUCAAUACUUCGGUUUUCAAGACCGACUCUUUCAACCGCUCAGACAUCCAUCC
rnacentral:tRNA from 1 species